GAUGAACGCUGGCGGCGUGCCUAAUACAUGCAAGUCGAGCGAACAGACGAGGAGCUUGCUCCUCUGACGUUAGCGGCGGACGGGUGAGUAACACGUGGAUAACCUACCUAUAAGACUGGGAUAACUUCGGGAAACCGGAGCUAAUACCGGAUAAUAUAUUGAACCGCAUGGUUCAAUAGUGAAAGACGGUUUUGCUGUCACGUAUAGAUGGAUCCGCGCCGCAUUAGCUAGUUGGUAAGGUAACGGCUUACCAAGGCAACGAUGCGUAGCCGACCUGAGAGGGUGAUCGGCCACACUGGAACUGAGACACGGUCCAGACUCCUACGGGAGGCAGCAGUAGGGAAUCUUCCGCAAAGGGCGAAAGCUUGACGGAGCAACGCCGCGUGAGUGAUGAAGGUCUUCGGAUCGUAAAACUCUGUUAUUAGGGAAGAACAAAUGUGUAAGUAACUAUGCACGUCUUGACGGUACCUAAUCAGAAAGCCACGGCUAACUACGUG
rnacentral:rRNA from 1 species